rnacentral:misc_RNA from 1 species
GAUGAAGAACGUAGCAAAGUGCGAUAUGUACUGCGCUGUGCGCGAACUGCGCAGUCAUUCUUCGAAUACACAUUGUCCUGUCUGGCGAACAGCCGGCAGGGCAUCUGCUUCAGGGUUGUUGAUUAGUUAGCGCCGCGCUUUGCCGGUGUUUGUGGGGUGUCACCACCGUGUGUCCCCUACCUUUUGUGUCCCCGAUGCUUUCGCUUCUGGGGAUUGGGUGUCUGGCAGUCUGGUUCAUUGCUUGCAUUGUUCCGCGUAUUGCUUCUCCCUUUUACCUUAUCUGACCCGACCUGAAGUCAGGUGUGACUACCCGCUGAACUUAAGCAUAUCAAUAAGCGGAGGA